rnacentral:lncRNA from 1 species
CUUUGGGUUCCCCUGGGGAAAACCAAGGACAAAGCAGCGUCGGUGGAAGCGUUAAGGGAGCUUAAAGAUAUUCAUGCCGACGGUUGAUACUGCUAAUUAGGCUCCGGUAUGUGGUUGCGCAAGUCCGCGUGCUCGUCGUUUGACCAUGUGUCGUGAACUGCUAUGCCCAUCAUUGCUCUCUUUUGUACUCCCUCCGUUUUUAUUUACUCCGCAUAUUAGCUUUGGUCAAAGUCAAGCUUUGUAAACUUUGACAAAAUUUAUAGACAAAAAUAUUAACAUGUAUAAUAACAAAACAUUAUCAUUAGAUUCAUUAUUGAAUGUACUUUCGCAUCAUAUAGAUUUGUUAUGGUAAAUAUUUAUAUUCUUUUCUAUAAACUUGAUCAAAGUUUAUGAAGUUGACUUCAGUCAACUCUAAUAUGCAGGGUAAUAAAAACGGAGGGAGUACUAGUAUUUUACUAGGUUACAUGUGAGACUAUGUUUGACCCAGCCAUUCGGGGCUUUAUUUUAUAAGGCCGGGUGCCCCUUCCCUUACUGACAAGCUCUAUAGGAAUCAUCGCUAAAAAGGGAAUCAGUUACAUGGAAACGCACCUAACUGGAACCUCAAAUUUGUACAUAUGCUGAGUUUUUUUAAAGCAAUAGUUCUUGCUAGUCAUUUUGGACAAUAUGCUGAGUUGAUUCGUGAGAACAUUUCAUUUCUAUUACAGAGAUCUCUUUU